CUAGUAUGGCAUAUAUUUAAUUGAUGGUAACAGAAAAUUCAUAUGGUUAAGAAAUUUUGUUAAUGCCAAACCUUUAUUCCAACAAGACUAACCCAAAACUUUAUCGAGAAUCAUAAAUGUUCAAGAGUUUUUUAUUUAAAAAGUGGGAUUUGCGAGGAUUUCAUGUGGUCGGAUGCAAAAACAUCCUCUAUAUUUUUUUACCAUUUUUUUUUUACAAAUUCAGUUCUUAAAACACUAAUACAAUACUGUUAAAGGUGUAAAACUAUUUUCACAAUUUCGUAUACGUCGCUAGACUACUAAUUUCGAAAAGAAACCACGCACUCUGUCCAGUCACGAACCACAGGAGAAUAUUUUGACAUAUGACUAUACAUGCCCUUGUUCUGAUUAUACAAACACUGUAUAAAAGGCACUACAUCCACUCAUCCAUCAAUCACAAGCAAAACAUACCACCAAAGACAGGGGGAAAAUACCACGUGAGCAAAUUUACAAGACCAUGAUGCUUAAAAAAAAAGAAGAAAAAAAAGUGAAACAAAAACAAAUGAGCAUCGCGAUCUUCAUGUAUAAGCACUUGAGUAACAUUUAAUUAAUAAUAAAAAUCGGUAAGAAAAGAUUCUAAAUGCCAUUAUAAUAACAUAAAAAGAUAAAAGGAAGGGGAUACGAGACUCUAAGAUUCAGCGGCAGCCUCUUUGGUUGCCUCUUCGGCCGGGGCUUCCGCCUCUUUGGUCUCCUCCGCGGGGGCUUCCUUGCUCUCCUCGCCCUCUUUAGGCGCCUCUUCCUCCUUCUUUUCCUCUUCCUUCUCUCCCUCUUCCUUGGGUGCUUCCUCCUUAGUCUCCUCCUUGGCCUCCUGCGCCUCCUCCUUCUUCUCUUCCUGUGGGGUGGUCUCUGCGACCUCCUUGGUCUCAGCGGCUUCUUGUGCCUCCUCCUUCUUCUCCUCCUGUGGGGUGGUCUCAGGAACCUCCUUAGUCUCAGCUGCUUCAGAGCUCAUGGUGGUGGUGUAGAGGAGAAAUGAACGGUAGAGAGAGAGAGAGAGAGAGAGAGAGAGAGAGAGAGAGAG
rnacentral:lncRNA from 1 species